rnacentral:rRNA from 1 species
UGUGGCGGACGGGUGAGUAACGCGUAAGAAUCUAACUUCAGGACGGGGACAACAGUUGGAAACGACUGCUAAUACCCGAUGUGCCGCAAGGUGAAACCUAAUUGGCCUGGAGAAGAGCUUGCGUCUGAUUAGCUAGUUGGUGGGGUAAAGGCCUACCAAGGCGACGAUCAGUAGCUGGUCUGAGAGGAUGAGCAGCCACACUGGGACUGAGACACGGCCCAGACUCCUACGGGAGGCAGCAGUGGGGAAUUUUCCGCAAUGGGCGAAAGCCUGACGGAGCAACGCCGCGUGAGGGAGGAAGGUCUUUGGAUUGUAAACCUCUUUUCUCAAGGAAGAAGUUCUGACGGUACUUGAGGAAUCAGCCUCGGCUAACUCCGUGCCAGCAGCCACGGUAAUACGGGGGAGGCAAGCGUUAUCCGGAAUUAUUGGGCGUAAAGCGUCCGCAGGUGGUCAGCCAAGUCUGCCGUCAAAUCAGGUUGCUUAACGACCUAAAGGCGGUGGAAACUGGCAGACUAGAGAGCAGUAGGGGUAGCAGGAAUUCCCAGUGUAGCGGUGAAAUGCGUAGAGAUUGGGAAGAACAUCGGUGGCGAAAGCGUGCUACUGGGCUGUAUCUGACACUCAGGGACGAAAGCUAGGGGAGCGAAAGGGAUUAGAUACCCCUGUAGUCCUAGCCGUAAACGAUGGAUACUAGGCGUGGCUU